rnacentral:lncRNA from 1 species
UACCUACGAGUUGCUUAGCCACCAAUUUAGAAUGGAGCCUAGGCCCCUCUGCUCAUUUAAAGAUACGUUAUCAAUUUCGGUAUUUUUUCCUUUUGAAGGUACCAGAAAAAAAAGGAACACUGAGAAAAGACCACAAACCUCCUGAAUUGACUGAAGGUAGCAAAGAGAAAAGCACAUGGAAAGCAGAAACGGCCCAGGUUAGAACUGAUCUCCGUCAGGAGUCAAGCCAGCUCUGAUUUGCAUCCCUGAAUAGACAAUUCCAUUGCAUAGGCCCAGAGUUACUGAGAAUUCUUAGUUAAGGAAGAAAAAGCAACCAACACCCCUCUCUUUCACUGUAUUCUUUUCUCCCCACUUUUCUCCACAUAAGAAACCUGUUCUGUAUUUAAUCAUCACUGUGUUUAGACCAGAUUCCAAGUUCAAGUUCCAAUUUGAUGUAAGAUGGGCUAGAGGAUUGCUUUUCAUUAGCAGCUCCAUUUCUCCCUCUAGACUUCCUUGGAGUAGAAUUAUAUUCUAAUUAAUACAAAUGGCAUCUGAUUUCUUGGUUUGUUCUAAGUGCCUCAAGGUAGUUGGUACAUGACUUCUGUUCUAGGAGUCCUCUCUGUGGGAAGUGGAGCUUCCACAAA